rnacentral:misc_RNA from 1 species
AGCAGCCGCGGUAAUUCCAGCUCCAAUAGCGUAUAUUAAAGUUGUUGCAGUUAAAAAGCUCGUAGUUGAAUUUCGGGGUUAGUAGGUUGGUCAUGCCUCUGGUAUGUACUGGUCUCACUGAUUCCUCCUUCCUGAUGAGCCGUAAUGCCAUUAAUUUGGUGUUGCGGGGAAUUUGGACUGUUACUUUGAAAAAUUAGAGUGUUUAAAGCAAGCUAACGCUUGAAUACAUUAGCAUGGAAUAAUGAAAUAGGACGUUCGAUCCUAUUUUGUUGGUUUCUAGGAUUGACGUAAUGAUUAAUAGGGAUAGUUGGGGGCAUUAGUAUUCAAUUGUCAGAGGUGAAAUUCUUGGAUUUAUUGAAGACUAACUACUGCGAAAGCAUUUGCCAAGGAUGUUUUCAUUAAUCAAGAACGAAAGUUAGGGGAUCGAAGACGAUCAGAUACCGUCGUAGUCUUAACCAUAAACUAUGCCGACUAGGGAUCGGAUGAUGUUAAUUUUUAAUGUACUCAUUCGGCG